UCCUCGCUGCGCUGCCCCUUUCCGGCCGGCGGCGCAGCCAGCCCGGAUCCCUGGGGCGCCCGCUCCCCGACCUGGCGCCCGCCAGGCUGAGCGGGCUCCGCUGCUCGCCGACCCUCCCUCCGCCCCCCCUCCGGCUCGGGUGGUCCGGACUUCCCCGAGGCGGGGGAGGGGGCCGCCUUGUCUCCUCCCAGGCCUUGGGCCCUUUUAUGCUGCGGGGGGGCGGGGGGCUUCCGAGGUUGGGACUUGCCUUAGUUCCGCUUUGUGAGCCUUCCAUUGGAAGGGCGUGUAGGCGGGGGAAAGGGGACACGCGUGGGCUGAGAUUGGGCAGGGGAGUGCGGGGCGCUCCAUUGGGUAGCGGCCAGGGCUCGGCCCGUGGGCCCCUCUCCUUGGCCAUCUCUCUGGGCCGGUGCUGAGGAGCCUCGACGGCCGCUGGUGCCAGUUCCUCUCUCCCGCCUGCCAAGGCAAGGCUAAAAGCGGUGGCAUGAACUCCGGGGCGGAGCCCGGCUUUGGCGUGGCUUCCCCCACCGUCUUCCCAAAUUGCCCCAGGCCACGUACUCUAACCCAGUGUUUCUCAACCUUGGCACCUUUCAGCUUUGCUGGCUGGGGAAUUCUGGGAGUUGAAGUCCGCACAGCUGGAAGGUGCCAAGGUUGAGAAACACUGCUCUAACCUCUUUUCAGCAGCAAGUCCCUUUUUAAAAUUCUCUCCAAUCUCUUUCCUGUUAGAUGCUGCUCCUAAGUGGACUGCUGCUACACGGUGGCCUAGCAAGUCAUCAAGUCAUCGUUUUCGUUCCUUGUUUUGCAACGUUUUAUACAGGUCGGUGACCAUGAUUAAGUUGAUGGGAUGAUCAACAAAAACCAAGAGAUUGUUGGACUAGAACUUCUGGGCAGAUGUUCCUUGUGGCUGAGUCUGAGGUUCUGAAAUAAGACUAAGUGCCGGCAUCCUUCCCCAAUCUGCUAUGGUGAGCCCGGAAUUCAACUCACAAAGGGUACCUUUCCUUUCCUUUCCUUUCCUUCUAUAUUUUUAAUUGAAACUUAAACAAGAUAAAAACUAACGCAAACUAAUACAAAGGGAGAAAUAAAAGAAAAAGAAGUGCAAGAAGAGAAAGAAGUUGAAGAAAAAUAGAAAAGAUGUAAGGAAGUAACUUCCGAUAUUCUUCACAGCAGUUGUAAGUACAAAUAUAUUUUAACCUCUCUCUAAAGUUACAUCAUAUUACUGUUGUUUUUAUAAUCCAUCCUGUCUAAU